UACGGGGGGUGCGAGCGUUGUCCGGAAUCACUGGGCGUAAAGGGCCCGUAGGCGGCCAACUAAGUCGGAUGUGAAAUCCCCAGGCUUAACCUGGGAACUGCAUCCGAUACUGGAUGGCUUGAAUUCGGGAGAGGGAUGCAGAAUUCCAGGUGUAGCGGUGAAAUGCGUAGAUAUCUGGAGGAAUACCGGUGGCGAAGGCGGCAUCCUGGACCGACAUUGACGCUGAACGGCGAAAGCUAGGGGAGCAAACGGG
rnacentral:rRNA from 1 species